GAUGAACGCUGACAGAAUGCUUAACACAUGCAAGUCUUUGGCGAAGCUGUGCUUGCACAGCCUAGCCAAGGCGGACGGGUGAGUAACGCGUAAGGAACUUGCCCUGCAGUCAGGGAUAACAGACGGAAACGACUGAUAAGACCUGGUAAAGUCAGGCGGACUCAUGUCCAGCCUGAUGAAAAGAGAUGCUGCAGGAGAGCCUUGCGUCCUAUUAGCUUGUUGGUGGGGUAACGGCCCACCAAGGCGAUGAUAGGUAGCCGGCCUGAGAGGGUGGACGGCCACAAGGGGACUGAGAUACGGCACUUACUCCUACGGGAGGCAGCAGUGGGGAAUAUUGGACAAUGGGGGCAACCCUGAUCCAGCAAUUCUGUGUGCACGAUGAAGGUUUUCGGAUUGUAAAGUGCUUUCAGCAGGGAAGAAAAAAAUGACGGUACCUGCAGAAGAAGCGACGGCUAAAUACGUG
rnacentral:rRNA from 1 species